rnacentral:rRNA from 1 species
AACGAACGCUGGCGGCAGGCCUAACACAUGCAAGUCGAGCGAAGCCUUCGGGCUUAGCGGCGGACGGGCGAGUAACGCGUGGGAACGUGCCCUUUGGUACGGAAUAGCCCCGGGAAACUGGGAGUAAUACCGUAUGUGGUCGAGAGACGAAAGAUUUAUCGCCAAAGGCUCGGCCGGCGUUGGAUUAGGUAGUUGGUGGGGUAAUGGCCUACCAAGCCGACGAUCCAUAGCUGGUUUGAAAGGUUGAUCAGCCACACUGGGACUGAGACACGGCCCAGACUCCUACGGGAGGCAGCAGUGGGGAAUCUUAGACAAUGGGGGAAACCCUGAUCUAGCCAUGCCGCGUGAUCGAUGAAGGCCUUAGGGUUGUAAAGCUCUUUCAGUGGGGAAGAUAAUGACUGUACCCACAGAAGAAGCCCCGGCUAACUCCGUGCCAGCAGCCGCCGUAACAC